GGAAAAGAAACCAACAGGGAUUACCUCAGUAACGGCGAGUGAAGCGGUAACAGCUCAAAUUUGAAAUCUGGCCCUUUCAGGGUCCGAGUUGUAAUUUGUAGAAGAUGCUUUGGGUGUGGCCCGGGUCUAAGUUCCUUGGAACAGGACGUCAUAGAGGGUGAGAAUCCCGUAUGUGACUCGGCGCCUUCGCCCGUGUAAAGCUCUUUCGACGAGUCGAGUUGUUUGGGAAUGCAGCUCAAAAUGGGUGGUAAAUUUCAUCUAAAGCUAAAUAUUGGCCAGAGACCGAUAGCGCACAAGUAGAGUGAUCGAAAGAUGAAAAGCACUUUGGAAAGAGAGUUAAACAGUACGUGAAAUUGUUGAAAGGGAAGCGCUUGCAACCAGACUUAGCGGCGGUCGAUCAUCCGGGGUUCUCCCCGGUGCACUCGGUCGCCUCUAGGCCAGCAUCGGUUUGGGUGGUGGGAUAAAGGCCUUGGGAAUGUAGCUUCUUUCGGGGAGUGUUAUAGCCCUCGGUGCAAUGCCGCCUACCCGGACCGAGGACCGCGCUUCGGCUAGGAUGCUGGCGUAAUGGUUGUAAGCGAC
rnacentral:rRNA from 1 species